rnacentral:ncRNA from 1 species
GCAUCACAGGUCUGUGGCUGAAAGUCGAUGGCAGUCGCAGCCAAAACGAUCCACGUAACGCAGUCAAAAGGGCUGCUGAGCAUGGUGCGGUUUAGAAGUAAGUCCUGCCGGGAAAACCGAGAGAGUGAGUUGUGAGAGGCAAGCGCCGGGUAGCUAAAGCUCCAGCAGGCGAGUGUGGGGUCAAAAGCCAGGUCAGCUGUAGAUGC